rnacentral:rRNA from 1 species
UACGGGGGGGGGUAAGCGUUGUUCGGAAUUACUGGGCGUAAAGGGCUCGUAGGCGGCCAACUAAGUCAUACGUGAAAUCCCUCAGCUUAACUGGGGAACUGCGUGUGAUACUGGAUGGCUUGGAUUUGGGAGAGGGAUGCGGAAUUCCAGGUGUAGCGGUGAAAUGCGUAGAUAUCAGGAGGAACACCGGUGGCGAAGGCGGGUCCCUGGGCCGAAACUGACGCUGAGGAGCGAAAGCGUGGGGAGCAAACAGG